rnacentral:rRNA from 1 species
UAUUGGACAAUGGGCGAAAGCCUGAUCCAGCAAUGCCGCGUGAGUGAAGAAGGCCUUAGGGUUGUAAAGCUCUUUUAGUAGGGAAGAUUAUGACGGUACCUACAGAAAAAGCCCCGGCUAACUCCGUGCCAGCAGCCGCGGUAAUACGGAGGGGGCUAGCGUUGUUCGGAAUUACUGGGCGUAAAGAGCGCGUAGGCGGUUAUACAAGUUGGGAGUGAAAGCCCAGGGCUUAACCUUGGAAUUGCUUUCAAAACUGUAUAGCUAGAGAUCGGUAGAGGAUAGCGGAAUUCCUAGUGUAGAAGUGAAAUUCGUAGAUAUUAGGAGGAACACCGGAGGCGAAGGCGGCUAUCUGGACCGAUUCUGACGCUGAGGCGCGAAAGCGUGGGGAGCAAACA